rnacentral:rRNA from 1 species
GACAGAGGGUGCAAACGUUGUUCGGAAUUAUUGGGCGUAAAGCGCGUGUAGGCGGUUCGGUAAGUCCGCUGUGAAAGUCGGGGGCUCAACCCUCGAAUGCCGGUGGAUACUGUCGGACUAGAGUACGGAAGAGGCGAGUGGAAUUCCUGGUGUAGCGGUGAAAUGCGCAGAUAUCAGGAGGAACACCAAUUGCGAAGGCAGCUCGCUGGGACGUUACUGACGCUGAGACGCGAAAGCGUGGGGAGCAAACAGG